UUGAACGCUGGCGGCCUGCCUUACACAUGCAAGUCGAACGGCAGCACGGGUGCUUGCACCUGGUGGCGAGUGGCGAACGGGUGAGUAAUACAUCGGAACAUGUCCUGUAGUGGGGGAUAGCCCGGCGAAAGCCGGAUUAAUACCGCAUACGAUCCACGGAUGAAAGCGGGGGACCUUCGGGCCUCGCGCUAUAGGGUUGGCCGAUGGCUGAUUAGCUAGUUGGUGGGGUAAAGGCCUACCAAGGCGACGAUCAGUAGCUGGUCUGAGAGGACGACCAGCCACACUGGGACUGAGACACGGCCCAGACUCCUACGGGAGGCAGCAGUGGGGAAUUUUGGACAAUGGGCGAAAGCCUGAUCCAGCAAUGCCGCGUGUGUGAAGAAGGCCUUCGGGUUGUAAAGCACUUUUGUCCGGAAAGAAAUCCUUGGCUCUAAUACAGUCGGGGGAUGACGGUACCGGAAGAAUAAGCACCGGCUAACUACGUG
rnacentral:rRNA from 1 species